UUGUAUGACGUGAAAUGUCUUCAAGUGCCCUUUCGAUUGCACUUUUUUCAAGUUGCAAGCUGGAAUCUUUCUCAAGCUGAAUGGAACGCAGCAUUACAGUUCUUCACGACGUCGCUCCUUCAUCAGGCCACACCCCUUUAGACCCUUUGACUCCACCUUCCAAAGUGGCACACAUCAGGGGCGGGGCUUCUCUGGCCAAUAGCAUGUCUGCUUGCCCUGGCACCUCCUCUGUCUCCGCCCUUCCAGUGCAAUUACUAAUACUGUCUAUCUCUUUGCCAUCUUAUCCAAACUCAUUUUUAUCUAACGUCCCUUCAGUGAUUCACAUUUUCAUUCAUUUUAUCCAUUAAGUCUUCCCGCUUUACCUUAACCGUCCAAUCAUCAUGCUCAAAUGCUGUUUUUGUUUGUCGGGCAAGGGAGGGGCUAUACUUAAACUCAUGAAUAUGCUAAUGUCCUGUUGAUAUGGGUAUGUAUUUAUUGUGACAGCUGUUUUGUUCAUGUCUUCAUGGUUUUACCCUGUGGAGCACCCAGCUGAGAACCUCGCGACCUCAUUGGUUUCGCCGGUUAUAUAUAUAUGUAAUGGUUUAAAUGUACUCUGAGCCAAAUGUACAGGUUAACCAGACAUUUAACAUGCAUCAUGUGAGCUGUGAGCGUUUGUAUGGCUCUCGUAACCUGAAGAAUAGACUUGGUAGGUUUUUUAAUUCAACUGUAUUUUUUCCCGUUUUUAAUUGUAAUCACUAUGGUUUGGCGAAGGGGAAUUUUUUUUUUUUUGUGAAGAGAUUAUAUUUAGUAAUUUCAUCAUCUUCCACUGUUUACUCACCAUCCCUGAGGCACAUAAUUUUAACUUUUCUUUUUAUAUAUAUAAAUAUAUAUUUUUUAAUUCUCUCACACAGUCAUUUUGGGUCCAGGAGAGGUUUUAGUUAUUUUACUAUUUUUAGUUUUUUUUUUCUUUUCUUUUCUUCUUAUUUUUUUUAUUGAUUCUUAAGUAGGUUUGAAGCCCAAAACAUCUACAUCUCUACAGGCAGCAUCAUGGAAAUGAAAAUUCGCACAUGCCACAGAUCUGCUAUUUAAUGCUGAAUGCAUUUAUUAUGUUUAACAAAGCGAUUAUUGAGGAUUUAUGGUGUUUUAUGUUGAAUGAAUUGAGCAGCCUUUCAGAAUAACUGACUCAUUUGCUAUUGAUGAACCUGUAAAUAUAACAAUGUGUUAUAAAUAAGAAUUGGUUUUGAAAGCGGAGAACAUCUCACCAUCUUGAAGAGGAAAACGUCAUUUCGUAUGUCUUCCGAACAUACACUUUUUCAAGUGCUCUGUCUCUCUUUGAGAACAAAACAAUUGCUAAACAACUUCAUUUCAGCCUUUUCAGCAUUGUUAUACUUUGGUGGCUAUCACCAUAUGACACAUACAUACACACCUGUCAGUGACAAGAAUCAUUUGCCCUCGGCCCUUACCUGCUCUAUUUGGGACUUCAAAACACUGUUCCCGAAUCAGAGAAUUAUAAAUAUAUAUCUAUAUAUAUAUGUAUAUCUAUACGUACCAUACUAUAAAUAAGAGUGAACUACCAAUCCAUGGUAAGAGUCUAUUUUUAAAUUUUGAUUAAUAAAAAUGUCCCAGUUUUUUUUUCUCUGCUUUGCUAAAUGAAUUAAACUCUUUUUUUUUCGUUUGGUGGGGUCUGCCAAAUGUUUGUUUUGCACUUUUUUGUUUUGUGUCCUAUUUGUUAUGCUUGUGUUUUUGAGCACUGAAUACUUUGUAUGUGUUAACUGUGCCAAUUAAAGAUAGAGGGGGAAAAAGUAAAUUAAUUAUUGUCUCAGUGUAUCACUUUGUGUGUGUGUGUGUGUGUGUGUAUAAAAAUGUGUGUAUAAAAAAUGUGUGUGUGUGUGUGUGUAUAAAAUGUGUGUAUAAAAAUUUAAGCUACCUGCAUGACAUCACACUUAAUUGUAUAUUAGCAUUAUAUCCCAGUUUUAUCAUUUUUACACAUAAAUAAUUAACACAGUAGCAAAAUGGCUGAAACCUCGUUUUAUACUCGUGUUAACUUUAUAAACAAAUAUUAUUAAUCAUUUUUUUAUAUAUGAAUUAAGAAUAAAAUAUGUAUUUAUUAAUUCGUUCAUUUGAAAUGUAACGUUACCAUUGUUAAUGGGCAAAAUAACAUCGCAAACUAUUAGCUCUUAACUUCCAUGUAGUAUCAUUCAGUAACAUAAAAAGGCUACAAGAAAACUCAAAUAUGAAUAUUUAAAAAAGUCAAUAAAUAUUUAAAAUCGAGUAUUAAAACACGACAUACAUGGUACAGUUGUUUUGCGACAACGGCUUUUACACUGCGAGGGCUUGUGUUUACUUCCUGGGCAAGAGUCUGUGACGUAUGUUGUUGCGUCGUUAUGAUUGGUCUAACAUGUCGAUAUGCAAAUGAAAAAGCAAUGCGGGGCGCCUAAGGAUGGCAAAAAUAACUUUAUAAAAAAACAUGUAUCCAAAUAAUACGCGUAUAACAUAUAUAAAACACGUCUUCACAACAAUAUGUCAUACAUACCAUAAGAACGAAGUAAGUUUUCAAUUUUAAAAUUGUCACCGUCGUUGAGCAUUAUGGGAAGCUACCGACCUUCAUAAUCUCUGAGAAAGAGCACUUUUUUACGUGUUGUAUGAAAGGAGAGAAGGUUAGCACUCCCCUUGACAAGGAUGGAAGAGGUCCUAGUGACCUUCAACACACAUAUGGUUAAGGCAUUGCCACCUACUUCGUGGCAUCUCUAACCAAGUUUUUUUUUUUCAUGGUUUUGUCUAAUUGUUGCAUGAACUGCAUAAUUCGUAUCACAGCUCAGAAACACACAACAUCCUCCUUCAGUGGUAAAUGACGUCUUUAAACAAUUCGCUAUAAGAAAAAAGAAACUAUGCUCAAGUUUUAUAAAAGACUCUAACGUAUUUUGAAUCUUCUUCUCGUUUUUGAGCCGUCGAGCGCCCCCUUGAGUGCA
rnacentral:lncRNA from 1 species